GACUCCAUGAAGCUGGAUUCGCUAGUAAUCGCGCAUCAGCCACGGCGCGGUGAAUACGUUCCCGGGCCUUGUACACACCGCCCGUCAAGCCAUGGAAGCCGGGGGUGCCUGAAGUGCGCUGCCGCGAGGAGCGCCCUAGGGUAAAACCGGUGACUGGGGCUAAGUCGUAACAAGGUAUC
rnacentral:rRNA from 1 species